UACAUUUAGAAUUCUAUUGACUUCUUCCUUUUAUUUUGUCUUUUAGCCUUGAAAAUAUUGUGCUUCGUUAUUUCGGGCACAGCACAGAUUCAGUUGAGAAGGCAGCUAUCUUUAAUUCAUCUUUCCUAGAGAGUCUUGAAAGAUGCUGCCCCAUUUUCUCCAUGUCUCCAUGGAUGCUCUUGAGAAGACAGCCAUUGUUUAAAUCAUUAUUCCCAGGUAGACAGUUAAUCUUUAUUUCUCUGGUACUUGUAACUUAUUUAUUAUUUGGCCCUUAGCUGCUUAAAUAUUAUAUACCCAUGUGCAUAUCUGUUUUUAUUUAACCAGAUUUGGUUCCACUAAUCUUACCUUUGUAAUUUGACAUAUUUCUGAAAAUUUGAGAAUUUGGGGACACCUUUCUACAAAUCAUGUAUCUUUCUGAUCCAUUUCUCUUUCUCUUUAUAUUGGUCUAAGAC
rnacentral:lncRNA from 1 species